UACGGAGGAGGCAAGCGUUAUCCGGAAUUAUUGGGCGUAAAGCGUCCGCAGGUGGCUAUUCAAGUCUGCGGUCAAAGACUGGGGCUUAACCCUGGAAAGGCCGUGGAAACUGAAGAGCUAGAGUGCAGUAGGGGUAGAGGGAAUUCCCGGUGUAGCGGUGAAAUGCGUAGAGCUCGGGAAGAACAUCGGUGGCGAAGGCGGCUGGCUGGGCCAGUUCUGACGCUGAGGAGCGAAAGCGUGGGGAGCGAACAGG
rnacentral:rRNA from 1 species